rnacentral:rRNA from 1 species
AACGAACGCUGGCGGCAUGCCUAACACAUGCAAGUCGAACGAGACCUUCGGGUCUAGUGGCGCACGGGUGCGUAACGCGUGGGAACCUGCCCUUAGGUUCGGAAUAACUCCCCGAAAGGGGUGCUAAUACCGGAUAAUGUCUUCGGACCAAAGAUUUAGCGCCGUUGGAUGGGCCCUGGUUGGAUUAGCUAGUUGGUGGGGUAAAAGCCUACCAAGGCUAUGAUGGGUAGCUGGUCUGAGAGGAUGACCGGCCACACUGGGACGGAGAGACGGCCCAGACUCCUACGGGAGGCAGCAGUGGGGAAUAUUGCACAAUGGGCGGAAGCCUGAUGCAGCAACGCCGCGUGCGGGAUGACGGCCGUCGGGGUGUAAACCGCUUUCGCCUGUGACGAAGCGGGAGUGACGGUAAUGGGUAAAGAAGCACCGGCUAACUACGUG